CACAUCUUUACAUCCUUUCAAACACAUGCAGCAACUUUGAUAGUUGGCAUACACAUGCAUUGCAUCAUGGCAGGUUGUAAUAACCACAUUUCGGCUUGCACACAACAACUCACAUCUCUGCUGUCUUUCAAUCUCCUUUCGGCUAACACAUGGAGGAAGCAAUGAUCUUUUUAGUUGCUGAAAAACACCAUGGAAAGAAACUGACAGCUUGUUUUAACCAUUAACAACCUGUUUUUAUUUGAUUUUCCAACACACCUCCUCAAAUUAAAACGCCUUUAUCCCUAGCAUUUCACGUAGCAACUUGAAUGGCUCAACUGGCAGUGGCUUAGUGAAGAUAUCUGCCACUUGUUCAUUCGUGUGACAAUAGACAAGCUCAAUUGUCUUUUGCUUCACAUGAUCCCUCAAAAAAUGGAACCUGGUAUCGAUGUGCUUACUCCUUCCAUGUUGGACUGGAUUCCUAGCAAGCUUGAUAGCUGAGAUGUUAUCCACAUGAAUCACAGUUGAUUCCACUUGUGGAUGACACACUGACUUCAACAGAUUUCUUAACCAAAUUGCUUCACAUACUGUUGAGGCUACAUCAACAUACUCGGCUUCACAUGAUGACAAAGCAAUAAUUGAUUGCUUCUUUGAAGUCCAUGAGAAAGCUAUUGAUCCUAGAAAAAACACAUAGCCAGUUGUGUUUUUCCUUUCAUCUUGGUCACCUCCCCAAUCACUAUCUGAAUAACCAAAUAAUUUUGCAUCUUCACCAAAAUUAUAAAACAGACCAUAGUUUAGAGUACCUCUUAUGUACCUCAAGAUUCUCUUGGCAGCCAGCCAAUGAGACUCCCUUGGUGUUUCCAUGUACCGACUCACGAGUCCAACUCCAUAAACUAUAUCAGGUCUUGUGAUUGUAAGGUACCUUAGACUUCCAACCAAGCUUUUGUACACGGUUGAGUUUACAAACUCACAUUCUCCUUCCUUGGACAGCUUCAAUCCAGUUGCAACUGGAGUGUUGACAAUAUUGCACUUAUCCAUAUUGAAUUUCUCCAAUAUAUCUCUCAUGUACUUUUGUUGAGAGAUGUAGAUACCGUCACUUUCUUGCUUCACCUCUAUGCCAAGAAAGUAUGACAUUAAUCCAUUGUCAGUCAUAUCGAAUUCACUGAACAUGGAUUUCUUGAACUCAUAGAACAUUGCUUCAUUGUUUCCUGUAAACAACAAGUCAUCUACAUAGAGACAAAUAAUUAAGAACUCCCCUUUUGCACCAUUCUUCAUGUAAACUGAAUGCUCGUAUGGACAUUUCUGAAAUCCAUUUUGGUGAAGGUAGUUGUCAAUCCUUGAGUUCCAAGCUCGUGGUGCUUGCUUAAGGCCAUACAAAGCCUUCUUCAAACGAUACACCUUAUCUUCUUUUCCUUGUACUUGAAAGCCUUCUGGUUGUUCCACGUACACUUCUUCCUCAAGUACUCCAUUAAGGAAGGCUGACUUGACAUCUAGUUGAUAAAUUUUCCAUUUAUGAUGAGCGGCAAGAGAGAUUAGCAAUCUUACCGUGUCAAGUCUUGCAACUGGAGCAUAGACUUCAUCAUAGUCCACUCCAUACUUCUGUUUGUAGCCCUUUGCUACAAGCCUUGAUUUGUACCGAUCCACACUCCCAUCUGCAGUGCGUUUGAUCUUGUACACCCACUUGACACCAAUUGCCUUCUGAUUUGGUGAGAGCUUUGUCAACUCCCAAGUGUCAUUCUUCUCGAUGGCAUGGAUCUCUUCUUCCAUGGCUUUCUUCCAACAAUCUUCUUCCACAGCUUCACUGAAUGAGAGAGGCUCGUGGUCUGCAUACAAGCAGAAAAAGUUGGUUUCUUCUUCUUCUUCUUGUCCAUAUAUUUUGGUGAGACUUCUUAGCCUCACUGGAGUUGAAGAGCUGCUUUCUUCACUAGAUGUAGGACCACUCCUUGCAAUUCUGUGCACUGGAGUUGUUGUGAUUGUUUGAGCAGGUUGUUGCUGAACAGGUGGUACAACUUCUGGUUCUUCAAAAUCAGUGGAAAUGAUCUUCUCUUUACUGACUUCUUUGUUGUUCCACUUCCAUGCCUCUUCCUCACUGAAGAUGACAUCUCUACUAACCACUAGUUUGCCAGUUAGUGGGUUGUAGAGCUUGUAUGCCUUGGACUCUUCACUAUAGCCCACAAACACACACUUUUCACCUCGAUCAUCGAGCUUUCUCCUCUUGGCUUCUAGAACCUGAGCAUAUGCAACACACCAAAAAACUCUUAGGUGUGCAACACUCGGCUUGUAUCCACUCCAAGCUUCUUGUGGUGUCAUCCUCUUGACACUCUUUGUUGGACAUCGAUUCAACAAAUAAAUCGAACAAGCUACAGCUUCUGCCCACAAUUCUUUUGGCAAAUUCUUCUCCUUAAGCAUGGACCUUGUCAUGUUAAGGAUGGUUCGAUUCUUUCUUUCGGCUAUCCCAUUUUGCUGUGGGGUAUAGGCAGCAGUCAGUUGAUGCCUAAUUCUUUGCUCCUUGCAGUAUGCUUGGAAAGCAUUGGAGGUGUACUCUCCACCUCUAUUUGAUCUCACAGCCACAAGCUUGUGGUUGCUUUCAGCCUCUGUGAGUGCCUUGAACUCCUUGAAGAUUCUUAGGGCAGCCGACUUCUCCUUGAGAAAAUAAACCCAAGUCUUCCUACUAAAAUCAUCAAUGAAAGUAAUAAAAUACCUAUUACCUCCAUAAGACAUGGGAUCUAAUGGACCACAUAUAUCUGUGUGCACUAACUGCAGUGGUGCCUUUGCUCUCCAUGUAUCACCAACAGGGAACGAUAGUCGUGCUUGCUUGCCAAGCACACAACCUUCACAUACUUGGCGUGUGGCUUCAAUUUGGGGUAGACCACGAACCAUUCCUCCACUUGACAGCAACUUUAGGUCAUUGAAAUGAAGAUGGCCAAAUCGAAGAUGCCAUUUCCAUUACUCAUCUUCCAUUACACCGAUGUUGCAGCUUCCAAUCUUUGUGUUCAAAUUCAACGGGAACAUCCGGUUCUUUGACAUUCGAACACGUGCAAUAAGCUUUCUCCUUUCAUUCCUGAGAGUGAGAAGCAUGUUCUCCAUAUGUAUAAUGUACCCUUUCUGGAGCAGUUGACCAAUGCUCAGAAUGUUGCUCUUCAUACCUGGUAUGUAGUAGGUAUCGGAGAUGUAUUCUUCUCUACCAUCCUUCUGGAUGAUCUUGAUCUUCCCUUUGCCUUCAACUGGCAACUUUGAGGAGUCACCAAGACUUACAGAUCCAUAGGCCCCAUCUUUGAGUUCGGCAAAAAACUCCUUCUUUCCACACAUGUGAUUGCUUGCACCAGAGUCCAAAUACCAAACAUCUUGUUGGCUACUGGAAUCAUGGUGUGCUAGCAAGACUGUAAGUUCUUCAUCAGUAUUUCCACUUGAUUCUGCCAUGUUGACAUGCUCACCAUUUUUAUGUGAACAUUCAUUGGCAUAGUGUCCAUAUUGCUUACAGUUGUGACACUGGAUAUGCGCCUUUCCUCGAGUAGAUCUCCACUCCUGAGACUGACCUCGAUUUUGUGCAUAGCCUCGACCUCUUCCUCGGGCUCGUCCUCGGCUACGGUUGGAUGAACUCCCACGACGUGAGUUCCACUGCCCACGACCUCCAUUUGGUUUGUCAAUAUUCAACUUUGACUCCAAAGCUUGCUCUAGCGUUGUGGGGCUUGCAUUCUUCUGAAUGCGUUGCUCGUGAACUAUGAGGGAUCCUAGUAGCUCCUCUGCGCUCAUCGCCUCCAAAUCCUUGGAUUCCUCAAUGGCAGUCACCACAUGCUCAAACUUAGAUGUGAGUGACCGGAGUAUCUUCUCCACAACUCGUACUUCAUCGAGUCUCUCGCCAUUUCUCUUCAUCUGAUUUACUAUCACAAUGAGCCUUGAGUGAUAGUCGGAGAUGCUUUCCCCUUCAUUCAUGUGAGCAGUUUCAAAAUCUGCUCGAAGUGACUGUAACCUCACUUUCUUGACUCGAUCUACUCAUUUGUAGAUUGUACUGAGUGUGUCCCAUACUUGCUUGCUCGUUGUUGCUUCUGCAACCUUCUCGAACGUUGAAUCUUCUAAUCCUUGAUAGAGAAGAUACAACGCCUUCUGGUCCUUUUUUCGUAAAUCCUUGAGAGUGUUCCUUUGAUCUGCAGUAUAUGUGGCUUCUUGCUCGGUAGUGGGUACAACAUACCCAUUACUGACAACUUCCCAUAGCUCUUGUGAUCCAAACAAUGCUUUGAAUUGGAUGCACCAUCUUUCAUAAUUUUCUUUCUUCAAUGUGGGAACUUGGAGCUGCACUAAGUUGGAUGCCAUAACUGCUGCACCUGCCAGAAUGGUAUUCUGGCUCUGAUACCAACUGUUGGUAUUGAGAAGUUUACUAACUCAAUACCAAAAUAUGUGGGUGAUAAGUUUACAAACUCUAUCACACCUCUCACUUGACACUCUCAAUAAAAUUGGACAAAGAAAUAGAGAAAGGAGGGAAGCAACAAGCUUUGAAAAGAAAACUUGGACUUUGAUAUAUGAAAAGAGAGUUUUACAAAAAUCAAUAGCUUACAAGCUGAAAAUGAGAAUGGGAAAUGGGAUUCGGAUGGGAUGCUCUAAGGCUUAGCAAGAUGGCCUAUUUAUACAAAACUGAAAAAAUAAACAAUCCAACAAUACAUAUAAUGAAUGAUGGUGUUCCACAUCUUUACAUCCUUUCAAACACAUGCAGCAACUUUGAUAGUUGGCAUACACAUGCAUUGCAUCAUGGCAGGUUGUAAUAACCACCUUUCGGCUUGCACACAACAGCUCACAUCUCUGCUGUCUUUCAAUCUCCUUUCGGCUAACACAUGGAGGAAGCAAUGAUCUUUUUAGUUGCUGAAAAACACCAUGGAAAGAAACUGACAGCUUGUUUUAACCAUUAACAACCUGUUUUUAUUUGAUUUUCCAACAUUGGAG
rnacentral:lncRNA from 1 species